GACGAACCGUGCGAACGUUGUUCGGAAUCACUGGGCUUAAAGGGCGCGUAGGCGGGUGGUCAAGUCUGUGGUGAAAUACUCCAGCUCAACUGGAGAACUGCCAUGGAUACUGACUGUCUCGAGGAAGGUAGGGGCAUGCGGAACUGGUGGUGGAGCGGUGAAAUGCGUUGAUAUCACUAGGAACUCCGGUGGCGAAGGCGGCAUGCUGGACCUUUUCUGACGCUGAGGCGCGAAAGCCAGGGGAGCAAACGGG
rnacentral:rRNA from 1 species